rnacentral:rRNA from 1 species
UGCAGUCGAGCGAACAGAGAAGGAGCUUGCUCCUUCGACGUUAGCGGCGGACGGGUGAGUAACACGUGGGCAACCUACCCUAUAGUUUGGGAUAACUCCGGGAAACCGGGGCUAAUACCGAAUAAUUUGUUUCACCUCAUGGUGAAACACUGAAAGACGGUUUCGGCUGUCGCUAUAGGAUGGGCCCGCGGCGCAUUAGCUAGUUGGUGAGGUAACGGCUCACCAAGGCGACGAUGCGUAGCCGACCUGAGAGGGUGAUCGGCCACACUGGGACUGAGACACGGCCCAGACUCCUACGGGAGGCAGCAGUAGGGAAUCUUCCACAAUGGGCGAAAGCCUGAUGGAGCAACGCCGCGUGAGUGAAGAAGGAUUUCGGUUCGUAAAACUCUGUUGUAAGGGAAGAACAAGUACAGUAGUAACUGGCUGUACCUUGACGGUACCUUAUUAGAAAGCCACGGCUAACUACGUGCCAGCAGCCGCGGUAAUACGUAGGUGGCAAGCGUUGUCCGGAAUUAUUGGGCGUAAAGCGCGCGCAGGUGGUUUCUUAAGUCUGAUGUGAAAGCCCACGGCUCAACCGUGGAGGGUCAUUGGAAACUGGGAGACUUGAGUGCAGAAGAGGAUAGUGGAAUUCCAAGUGUAGCGGUGAAAUGCGUAGAGAUUUGGAGGAACACCAGUGGCGAAGGCGACUAUCUGGUCUGUAACUGACACUGAGGCGCGAAAGCGUGGGG